AUACUCGUCUUCCUUAAAUCUAGACCGUUCAUCGCGUUUGAUAUUGAUCGUCCGAUUACAUUUAAAUAAAAAAUGAAUUUGGAUCGUUUAUCACGAUUUGAUAUGGACCGUACGAUCGUAUUUAAAAAGGGAAUAAAUCUAGAUCGUUCAUUGUGUUUAAUCACGACCGUCCGAUCGCGCCUGAUGAGGAAACGGAUCCGGACAGUCUACGCGCCCAGGAACACAUCCGGGUCGUCCGAUUGCGGGCACGCAGAUUGCCAGCGUGGCCUCCCGCGUGGCAUCGAGUCAGCGUGCCUUGCCACACGGCAGACUCCGGUUCGUCGGGGUUGUUGAUUGGGCAGUUCUACGUGAUACAUUUUUCUUUAAUUGUGUUUUGACUUCUAAUUUUUUAUUUUUUUUCAAAAAUACAUCUCGAACCCAAAUUUUCAAAUCUUUUUCUCAAAAUUAUUUU
rnacentral:lncRNA from 1 species